rnacentral:rRNA from 1 species
UACGUAGGGUGCAAGCGUUUGUCCGGAAUUAUUGGGCGUAAAGAGCUCGUAGGCGGCUUGUCACGUCGGCUGUGAAAACCUGGGGCUCAACCCCGGGCCUGCAGCCGAUACGGGCAAGCUAGAAUUCGGUAGGGGAGUCUGGAAUUCCUGGUGUAGCGGUGAAAUGCGCAGAUAUCAGGAGGAACACCGGUGGCGAAGGCGGGACUCUGGGCCGAUACUGACGCUGAGGAGCGAAAGCGUGGGGAGCGAACAGG